rnacentral:rRNA from 1 species
AGAGUUUGAUCCUGGCUCAGGACGAACGCUGGCGGCGUGCCUAAUACAUGCAAGUCGAGCGGACAGAAGGGAGCUUGCUCCCGGAUGUUAGCGGCGGACGGGUGAGUAACACGUGGGUAACCUGCCUGUAAGACUGGGAUAACUCCGGGAAACCGGAGCUAAUACCGGAUAGUUCCUUGAACCGCAUGGUUCAAGGAUGAAAGACGGUUUCGGCUGUCACUUACAGAUGGACCCGCGGCGCAUUAGCUAGUUGGUGAGGUAACGGCUCACCAAGGCGACGAUGCGUAGCCGACCUGAGAGGGUGAUCGGCCACACUGGGACUGAGACACGGCCCAGACUCCUACGGGAGGCAGCAGUAGGGAAUCUUCCGCAAUGGACGAAAGUCUGACGGAGCAACGCCGCGUGAGUGAUGAAGGUUUUCGGAUCGUAAAGCUCUGUUGUUAGGGAAGAACAAGUGCAAGAGUAACUGCUUGCACCUUGACGGUACCUAACCAGAAAGCCACGGCUAACUACGUGCCAGCAGCCGCGGUAAUACGUAGGUGGCAAGCGUUGUCCGGAAUUAUUGGGCGUAAAGGGCUCGCAGGCGGUUUCUUAAGUCUGAUGUGAAAGCCCCCGGCUCAACCGGGGAGGGUCAUUGGAAACUGGGAAACUUGAGUGCAGAAGAGGAGAGUGGAAUUCCACGUGUAGCGGUGAAAUGCGUAGAGAUGUGGAGGAACACCAGUGGCGAAGGCGACUCUCUGGUC